GAACGCUGGCGGCGUGCCUAAUACAUGCAAGUCGAGCGAACAGAUGAGGAGCUUGCUCCUCUGACGUUAGCGGCGGACGGGUGAGUAACACGUGGAUAACCUACCUAUAAGACUGGGAUAACUUCGGGAAACCGGAGCUAAUACCGGAUAAUAUAUUGAACCGCAUGGUUCAAUAGUGAAAGACGGUUUUGCUGUCACUUAUAGAUGGAUCCGCGCCGCAUUAGCUAGUUGGUAAGGUAACGGCUUACCAAGGCAACGAUGCGUAGCCGACCUGAGAGGGUGAUCGGCCACACUGGAACUGAGACACGGUCCAGACUCCUACGGGAGGCAGCAGUAGGGAAUCUUCCGCAAAGGGCGAAAGCCUGACGGAGCAACGCCGCGUGAGUGAUGAAGGUCUUCGGAUCGUAAAACUCUAUUAUUAGGGAAGAACAAAUGUGUAAGUAACUAUGCACGUCUUGACGGUACCUAAUCAGAAAGCCACGGCUAACUACGUG
rnacentral:rRNA from 1 species